rnacentral:rRNA from 1 species
AUGAAGGAGAGUUCUGCUGGUUCCAUUGAGAUCUGUGACAUGGAAGCUGACGUGUUCAAGUCUUUGCUGCACUUCAUAUAUACCGACUCGGUUCCUCUGCUGGAGAUAGCUAGCAACAAAGGCGAAACAGAUGUGGUUAUGGCUGGCCAUCUACUGGUAGCAGCUGAUAGGUACAACAUCGGCAGGCUGAAGCAGAUAUGCGAGGAGAAAUUGUGCACCCACAUUGAUUCCAACAUGGUGGCUACCAAUUUGUCUCUAGCCGAACAACAUGGUUUCUCACGCCUCAAGGAAGCUUGUUUGCAAUUCCUUGUUUCUCCGUCCAAUUUGGAGGCUAUGAUGGCUAGUGAUGGUUAUGAACAUCUGAAGUCCAGCUGCCCAUCCGUUCUGAAGGAGCUCAUUGCUAGAAUUCUGCCGGCUGAAUAUAAAGCGGCAAAGGAUAUUAUCUUGGCAAUUUAG